rnacentral:rRNA from 1 species
GACGUAGGAUGCAAGCGUUGUCCGGAAUUAUUGGGCGUAAAGAGUUCGUAGGCGGUUACUUAAGUCUGAUGUUAAAUACCAGAGCUCAACUCUGGCAUGGCAUUGGAAACUGGGUGGCUAGAGUGUGGUAGAGGUCACGGGAAUUCCUGGUGUAGCGGUGAAAUGCGUAGAUAUCAGGAGGAACACCGGUGGCGAAAGCGCGUGACUGGGCCAUAACUGACGCUGAGGAACGAAAGCCAGGGGAGCGAAAGGG